GACGUAGGGCGCGAGCGUUGUCCGGAUUUAUUGGGCGUAAAGAGCUCGUAGGCGGCUUGUCGCGUCGACUGUGAAAACCCGCGGCUCAACCGUGUGGUCUGCAGUCGAUACGGGCAGGCUAGAGUUCGGUAGGGGAGACUGGAAUUCCAGGUGUAGCGGUGAAAUGCGCAGAUAUCAGGAGGAACACCGGUGGCGAAGGCGGGUCUCUGGGCCGAUACUGACGCUGAGGAGCGAAAGCGUGGGGAGCGAACAGG
rnacentral:rRNA from 1 species